GUCUGCUUCAACUGCACAUAGGCUGAAAUUGGAAUGACACAGAGAUUUGCAUAGCCCCUAUGCAGGGAUGGCACACAAAUUCAUGAAGUAGUCCAUUUUUUU
ensembl:snRNA U6 U6 spliceosomal RNA